rnacentral:rRNA from 1 species
GAAUAUUGGACAAUGGGCGGAAGCCUGAUCCAGCAAUACCGCGUGUGUGAAGAAGGCCUGUGGGUUGUAAACCGCUUUUGUCAGGGAAGAAACGGGUGUCUCUAAUACAGGGGGCUCAUGACGCUACCGUAAGAAUAAGCACCGGCUAACUACGUGCCAGCAGCCGCGGUAAU